GCCAAGGAACAAAAGUGCUGAGCCUCUUGAAAUGCUGAUUUUCACUCUCCCUUUGCAACAGGACCCCCCACAGUGGCAAAGACGCGUUUCUUUCUUGUGAGAUGAAGAAAAGGAGGCUCAGAUAGUUUAAGAAACUUUCCCUCCUCGCAUCAUGAAUAAGAGGCAGAGCCAAAAGCAAAUGAAGGUCAGUGUGAACCUAUACUCAAAUCCUGGGACUUGUCCCCGACCAGGUUGGGUGAGAAGAUGAUGAAGACAUUGAGGCUCAAAAGUUGCUAGUGAGAAGCAGAGCCAAGAGUCAGAUCCAAAAUCCCUCUGGCCCUGAAGCCUGCAUUGUUUCCACUGCGCAAAGUUGUCUGAAUGGUGAGCAAUAAAAGAGAGAAGAUACUAA